AUAUUCCUGGAAACUUUCACAAUACUGCUCACUUUUUCAUGGCAGUUAGCAUAAUUGGAAUUCUAAGAAUUUGAAAGAUUAUCUGUGAAUAGUUGAUUCUCUGCAUGAGUCAUCUUCAUGAGUAUGUGUCUGUUGUUUUCUGCCAUAUCCUCAAUGCCCAGCGGCCAGCCCACAGUCGGCCCUGACAACCCAAAUCAAGCAGCAUGUCAUUCUUUUUUUUUUUUUGGCCUGGCUUCUUUCACUUAAUGUAUUUUUCAGCUCCAUGCAGGAUGUAUCAGUAGUUCAGUUUAUUUUGGUUGCUAAUACUUGAUAGUUUACUGAUUCACUCACUGAUGGAUGGGCAUUUAUGCUAUUUUUAAUUUGGGGCUAUAUAAAUUUUUACAAAUAUUUG
rnacentral:lncRNA from 1 species